rnacentral:lncRNA from 1 species
AGAAUUUGCAUUUCUGGCAAAUUCCCAAGUGAUGCUGAUGCUGCUGAUCAGGCCGCCUCACUUUGAAGACCACUGUUAAAGACAGUGGGAGCUCCCACUCCAUGAGAACAUGACAGGUGCCUGUGACCACAGCCUCCGUGCUCUCCAUGGGGAGAGGUGGGAUGUGCAGGACGAUGCUGAAGCACCAGCCCAGGUGUCUCAGCAAGGCAGCUGAGGGUCUGGGGCGGCUCCUGCCCGGCACAUGGUGGUCUCCUCCCUCUAGUCCUGUGCCCCUACAUGCCCCACUGCUCGUUUCAGAGUAGGGUUUUCAGGAAGGAGAGAGCUCAAAGAUUAGCAUGAGGACAAUGUGCAGUCAGAAUACCCCUCUUCCUCCUCCUAGCUUCUGAUGUCUCCAGAAAGCUCCAACUUGGCAGCAAAUCCACUUUAUAUUGUCUACUGUAGCCAACCUUUGGGACAGUGGGGGACAAAGAGAAGGGCCUGACGGCUUGCUGGGCAGGGCAUUCUUAGCCAAAAUCCCAAACCAGACUCUGCCUGUGGCCAUCCAAUAUCCUUCUCCCUUUCUGCCCUUCAAGCAGACCCCACUUUGGUUCAGGAUGGCAAUGUGCCCAGCUAAAAACAGUCACUAUGGGGCACCAGGCAACCCAGUCCUGGCCAAUGACACCUACGUGCAAGUCAUGGGGUAUAGAUUUUUGGAAGGCGUUUUAGAAGGAACACGUUGGGCUGGCACAGCCCUGCACCCUUCAGAUGCCCAGAAAGCAGAGGUGACAGCGGGAAAGAGGAGCAGCCAUCUUGCUACGUGAGGCAACGAACACACGGGAAAGGACCUGGUGAGCAGAGCAGAGCAAAAGAUGGAAGCACCGGGGUUUAGCUUCCGCUGUGCCCAGGCCUGGACUGUUAUAGUCUGAUGCCCUGACAGCUAACCUGGUUUUCUAUUGUUUCGGCUGAAAGUAUUCCUAACUGAUUCAAGUGGUAACAGUGGAAAGAGCACGAGAUGGGCCCUUAGGACUCAUCCUGGCUUUGUAACAGGCUGUGUGACUCAGGGAAAGUCAUGGCUCCUCUCUGAGCCCGUUUCUUCAUCUGUGGGGACGAACCAGCAGAUCUCCUUCUGUGGCUCCGAAUCAAGAACCAAGCUGGUCCCAACCAAAAGUUCCAGGGCUGGGAAUAAGCAGGGGUUUCAGCAAUGGGGCAGGAAGUCACCUUGGGCAUGUGUGACGUCCUGGGGUUGGAGUCUUAACAGUGUUGAACCGAAGGGAGAUCCUGAAGCACACAAUUAGAGAUGUCAGCAAUCCAUUUGUCUUCAGUCCCUUUGUCAUAAACCUUUGAACAUCCCCAAAGGGGUUCACAUUUGUCCCUGGAAGAAUCCUCGGGUAGCUCUGCAACCUGUGUCCCGGACCACAGCCCAAGUAGUUAGGCGAAUGGCCAGUUAGAGGUCUCACUGCUCCUGGGAAGGACAGAGCCUGGCGCCACCUCAGGAGAGAGGCCUGAGACGCUUCUGAUUGGUGUCAGCUGGGUCACGAGUCACCCUCUGUGAUGUGUGGACUGGAUUAGGCCUGGAUCACAUGUUAGACCCCUGGUUCUGGGCAUGCAGAGCCAUCCGCCCUAGAAGUACAAGGUUUGAGAC